rnacentral:lncRNA from 1 species
GCUCGGGCGGUCAGGAGCCAGGAGGGACAGGAAGGAUGACAGCCCAGCCUCUCGCCUUCCGAAGCCCCUCGGUGACUUUCACGCACAGCCUUUCUUUUCCUUCCCUCUUAAGUUUGUCUCUGGGACGACCCCUACCCCGCGAAACUUUCGGUGGAGCCUGGGCACAUGACGCAGCCUCUUCUCUCCAUCUCGGAGGCUGUUUCUGAGGUAGCACUUCCCGCCUGCGCCUGCUGGCAGCGAGUCGUCAGCAAGGCGGUUCCCUCGCGCGCCUCUGCCCCAGGCCCCAGCAGGCUGCGCCCCUCUUUUUACCUUUGAUUGAAAUCUCGUUUCCUCUCUAGCGUUUGUCCUUCUGCUCCUGAACCGCUCCCGCGUUCCUCGGGCGACUGCCCGACGCUCCAGGCAUCAUGGGGGAGCAGGGCCCUGAGGGGACACUCACAGCAGGUAAAAAUCUUAUUCAAACAAAAAGUAACUGAAAUGCAUCCUACAGUGUCCUGCCCACUGGGCUUCAUGUCCUCCAUCCCCAGCUGACGCCUCUACCAGGGCCCGGGGCUCCCCAGAGCACAGCUCGGAAAUCACCAGGCUGGACGUGCUGGAGGCCCCGUUAGGCUCUGGCAGUCUGGGUCCUGUGGCGUGGGGAUUUCAGGAACGGCCCCAGGAGAGAAGAGAGCCCGCAGCAGGGCAGCCUGGUCCCUGCAGGUGGUCUCAGCAGCAGCAGAGGGCUGGGGGACAAGGAAGAUGCAGAUAGUGCUACCACCAACGGCAGCUGCUCAGGCUGCGGUGGCCCCGCGGCCUCACUUCCCUAAGAGCAGCUGGAGAGAACAGAGGGAUGGUCCCAACACCCGGCCGCCCUGGGAGGUGAGGUGCAAGAGGAAGCCACGUUCAGGUCUUUGCAUUUUUUUUUCAGUGCCAUAGAAAGUUAUUGGAGGGUUUUAAAUACAGCAUGAUCUGAUUGACACACUCAGAAGAUUUACAUGUUUAAAUGACUCCAGCAUUAAGUUGGAGAGUGGAUUGACAGGAUAAGCCUGGAAAGUUCAUUCACUAGUCUUGCUGAGAGAUGAUGCGAUGUCUAACAGAACUGAAACUUUAGGUCCACACAAAAACGGGUACAGGAAUGUUCAUAGGAGCACUAUUCAUAAUAGCCCCGAAGUGGAGACAACUCUAUUGUCCAUCAGCUGAAGAAAGGAUAAAUAAAUGUAGGAUAUCCAUACAGUGGGAUAUCAUUUGGCCGUAAAGGAAUAAAGUACUGGUACCGGUAUGCACUGCAAGAUGGAUGAACCUUGAAAACAUCAUGCUAAGUGAAAGAAGCCACUCACAAGAGACCACAGAUUAUAUGAUCCCAUUAUACGAAAUGUCCAGAAGAGGCACGUCUACAGAGAGAGAAAGGAACUGGUCAUCAGGGCUAGGUGAGGAGGGCGAGUGGGGAGUGAGUGCUAAUGGGUAUGGGGCUUCUUUUGGAGAUGAUUAAAA